GCUUUCUACCACAACCGUCCAUUGUAGUAAUUAUUUUGUCACCGGCCGUUUCUGGAUAUGAGUGCAUGACAAUUGGGCCCAACCAGGUGUGGAGCCGGCAGCAAGAGGCAGCGAGGAUAGCUCGUUUGCGUAGGAGCAGCCUUUCUUGGUGUACGCGCGCGGACCAGCAGUAAAACCUAGAUCGGUGAACUGCUCCACCCAAUCCGCUGCCUCCUCUCCUUCCCAAUCCCCUUCUCUCUUCCUCAUCCAAUCCCCACCUUCUCUCACCCAAAUUCGCCGCCGCCUCCUCUCUCCCACUCCACGAGCCGGUGCAGACGGCUCAAAAGGUUCGCCCCGAGGUCGACCUCGUCGAGCGGCGAGCAGGCGGAGCCAUAGGGGACGGCCACGGCGGCGUGCGAGAGGAGGCGCCGCAGGAGCGCGGCCGGGCCGUCGGGGUCGGGGCCACGAUUCGGCGACCAGGCCGGGGCGCCGUAGCAGCAGCUGGCGGCGGCGGCCAGGCCAGGGCGAAUUGGGGUGGGGGCCGCAUCUCGCGUCGCACGCCGCUGAGCGGCGAGCAGGCGAAGCCGUAGGGGACGGCCACGGCGGCGUGCGAGAGGAGGCGCCGCAGAGCGCGGCCGGGCCGUCGGGGUCGGGGCCACGAUUCGGUGACCAGGCCAGGGCGCCGUAGCAGCAGCUGGCGGCGGCGGCCAGGCCAGGGCGGAUUGGGGUGGGGGCCGCAUCUCGCGUCGCAGGGAUGAAAGUGGAUUAUAUGCACUUGCAGAAAGUGACGAGGGAAAGUGAAUCCAAUUUUUUAAUAUUUGAGAGCCUCACACCUGCAGAUUUAUGCACUUGCCUUGAAGUGCAACGGUCAAAUUUUGGUCCACCUAUCACUAAAGGAGUAAAAGACCAGUGUCGACCUAAGGUUACUGCGGAUAGGACAGCGGAAGCUGGCCUGCACUGGAUAUCCAGAUUUUGUUGGCGGUUGCUAGCGGGGAAGAGGGGUGUCAUUUGGAGGAUGAGGAUAAGGAAGGCGGCUAUCGCUGGAAAAACAUGUGGGGCUUUCGUAGAAACUAUGGAGAAUUUGGGAUUUGUCUACAUUGCUUCGAGACAUUAUGCACAUAAUAUCAAGUGCAUAAUUAAUGGAAACGGAAGACAUUGGAAGAUCUUGUUUUAGUUGCAGAGGGUGGAGUAUCUGUAAAUAUAGACAGUGAAUGUGAUUUGGAAAAUAUUACUACUGAUGCUGAGUUGCAGGAAAGAAAGUGCCUGUUUUGCUCACAAAAUAUUACCACAGGGUGAGGGAGUAGACAAUGGUGAAGAUCAGAGGGCGUGAGCUCACGGUGGUCACCCAGAUUUCAACAGCUUCGACAGGUAGAGAAGAUCUCACAAAUUUGAAGGAACUGUAGUUGUCUUCAUGUAGAAUUCACUCAAAACUUCUCCAUGUAGUUGUCUUCUUAUGCCCACCCCAUCUUCCCAUAAUGUCCUAUGAUUUUUUCAGUCUUCUGAAAUUUUAAGCGGAUGUUUUAUGCUUUAGACUGAUAUAGUUGUAAUAUAUUUAUUAUAUGCACCCAUGAUUUCUAUGAUUAAGAUUUCAUUUUGUCGGCUGAUUUCUCGAUUGAUUGAACUAACUGUUCAUUUUCAUUUUGUGUUAAUGCUUAAUAAUAUGUUUGUUGCUUCUUCUUGCAUGUGGUUACAAGAUUCGCCUUAUAUGUCGAUUGAUUCGUUAAUGAUUCCCAUGCCUUCGGUCAGCUUUGCAAUAUGGAGGUCACUGCUUUGCAAUAUGGUAUGUGCCUGACAGGGGCAGCUUUGUAAUUUUAUUUAUAGCCUGAAGGUGUUACUGCAAGUGUGGCUUGAGUAGCAAAGUGCGUUCUUCGGAGAGUAGAAGCAUAUCUAUUGGUAGGUUCUGACUUAUGCGACAUCGGUUGGUGGCGCCCGGAGGGUUCCGGCGGUUGGUAGCACUGCCUGUCCGAAGUCGCGGAGGUGGCGCAUCCACCGGUGAUGGCCUACUUUCUUGAAAGGAGCCGCCGACAACACUGUCAGGUGUACAAUAAUUUCUAAGAGAAAGUCAUAGACCUUGAUGGAAAACAGUGGCCUGAUGAUCCUGGCAAUGACGCUUCAUCCUACUACAAGGUGGCAUGCAUUCCCGAGUCUAAAGGAGAUUGUAAAAGGCGCAUAUGUUCUACCAUCACUCGCUACCGCAGUCCUAGGUGACUAUUUCCAAUUUGAGCAGCUUGGCCACUUUGGACACGGACUUGACCCCCGCGAAGCUUGUGUUCAACAUGACUGUUGUGGAAGAGCACAAGCGGUCACCAUCGGCAGGAGGAGCAAGGGCCGUCACUGCCUCUCUCUUUCUCUCUCUGAUCGCGUUCUUCCCUCCUCAGUAGGGGCGGACGUCCGCUAUCACCGAGAGAAACGCGGAGACGAAGCCAUUCAAUAUCUACGCCUCCCAGGUGCCUUUGAGCGGUCGCCCACGCAGAAAGGACGCACAACCAUGGGGCACUUGAGUGUGCCUGGUUUGUCGGGUAGGUCGAUCCCUACAGCACCUCCUCCGCAUAUCUCCCCUUGCCGCCGGAGGAACUGACGCAACCAUGACCACGGCUCCUCCGCUUCAUCUUUGCUGCUAGAUUGUGGGAGUGCCUUGUCCUUGAUCCAUGAUUUGGUGCGAUUUAUUUUCUGUACUUUUUUUUUUGCUUGCCACUGAAGGAAAUUCUGGGGAACAGAGCGUUCUUUCAGCUUAUUACACUUUCUAAGCUACCGUAAGAUUAAUUGUUAGUUGAUGCCGGUUAUGAUUGAAUCACAAUGGCAAUCUAAUAUUGUCCUGAUUAUAUUUCUAUUGUAAUGUGGCUGUUGUAGUACAUUUCAACCCCUGAUGUGUGUUGAUCAUGCCUUCUACUUUUUCGUACUCUGAAGGAGAUAGCACUAGGUGUUGUGGAAUUGGAUUUUUUUCAUUUAGCUUUGAAUAUUUCUCUAACCAUGGGCUAGAGAACUCAUUAUUUAGAUUAUAUGCGCAUCACUCUCACUGAUUUGCCUUUUUAAUCUUUUGAGCGGGUUUUUUUCUUGAAGAUGCCAUGAUUCUUCAGUAUGGGCAAUCAUUGGGUGGUCUCGUGCUGAAUAAUAUCAUUGAAAUGGUAUGCUUUCAAAUUUGUAUUCAGCCUUUAUCGUAGUUAUCCAUGCUCUAUUGAAAUUUUCAUUUUGUUGUUGUAAUUCAAACAGAAAGACAAUGUUCCUCAUUCAUUGUAUGUUCACAUUCAUAAGUACUUACUAUAUUGCUGUGGGAGAUGACCGAUUUCUUCAUGCCUUAUAGAGUUGUGAUUUAUACCAACAAUUGUUUGACCCCUGUGAACAAAUAAAUGAACCAAGAAUGUAGUUGUUGUGAUUUAUACCACUUUGAUGCAGCCAAGAUUCCAGGGAGGAAUGGACUAUACAUUCACUCUUGAUUAACUAAAUAUUGAUUCUUUUACUUUCUAUACUCUGUGAAGGAAAACAUAUAUUUUAUGUGUCCAUGACAAUGAGGUGUUGGAAGCUCUAAAUUUGCGUGCACCACCAUUGAGUUUCUCCUGGUUUUCUUUGUGUAGUAUUUGGCAGGGAGUACAUGCGGAACAUGCCCCCUGUAUAUGUUUUAUCUAUAAAAUGUGAAACAAUCCCUUUCUUUACCUCAUGUAGGCAGAUGCAAUAAUAUUAUUGUCAAGAUGCUCCAAAAAAAUUACUAUUAGUUGUUGUAGCAUGUUCUGCUAUUUUCCCUAUCGUGUAUAAUCGGUUUUCCCAUUUUUCUUAAGUGUAUCAUAUCAUCCUGUUGAUUUGUUUU